rnacentral:rRNA from 1 species
UGAGUAAUGUCUGGGAAACUGCCUGAUGGAGGGGGAUAACUACUGGAAACGGUAGCUAAUACCGCAUAACGUCGCAAGACCAAAGAGGGGGACCUUCGGGCCUCUUGCCAUCAGAUGUGCCCAGAUGGGAUUAGCUAGUAAGUGGGGGGUAAUGGGCUCACCUAGGCGACGAUCCCUAGCUGGUCUGAGAGGAUGACCAGCCACACUGGAACUGAGACACGGUCCAGACUCCUACGGGAGGCAGCAGUGGGGAAUAUUGCACAAUGGGCGCAAGCCUGAUGCAGCCAUGCCGCGUGUGUGAAGAAGGCUUUCGGGUUGUAAAGCACUUUCAGCGAGGAGGAAGGUGGUGAGCUUAAUACGCUCAUCAAUUGACGUUACUCGCAGAAGAAGCACCGGCUAACUCCGUGCCAGCAGCCGCGGUAAUACGGAGGGUGCAAGCGUUAAUCGGAAUUACUGGGCGUAAAGCGCACGCACGCGGUUUGUUAAGUCAGAUGUGAAAUCCCCGGG